AACUCUUCAAGCACUUUGCUUAAACCCUGCACCCUCUCACUCUCCAAACUCUCAAACCCUGCACUCCUCGUGGGUCAUCUCCCUGUAAAUUGCCAUAGGUAUCAUAGUUGUUAAAUUUCUGGACACAAGGGCUUGACGUGUGAAGGAUGGAUGCGCUUUUGUAGUUUAAAGCUUAGUGUAGAAAGUUUAAUACAUAAAUCAGCUCGAACAUUAUGGCCUGGUCGUUGGCAGCUGCACUUGGGAGGAGCAUGGCAGCUGUCCCAGCUGCUCGAUCAGCUGCUAUGGCCGCUACAUUCUUCUGUAGAGGUGUAAUUUGCUAUUCAACUACUGUGCCCAAUGAUCCAGACACCCAUGAAGAUUUUAGGCCCACUAUUAAGCUUGAGAGUUCUGGUCUAUCAUUGAAGGACAUUGUUGAACAGGAUGUGAAAGAGAAACACGUUAUGAUUUAUAUGAAAGGGGUGCCUGAUCUUCCUCGCUGCGGGUUCAGCUCAUUAGCUGUGAGGGUGCUGAAAGAAUAUAGUGUACCUAUAAGCGCCAGGAAUAUAUUGGAAGACCUUGAACUUAAGAAUGCCGUAAAAGCUUAUAGCAACUGGCCUACAUUCCCACAAAUAUUCAUCAAAGGUGAGUUCAUUGGGGGAUCAGAUAUCAUCCUGAAUAUGCAUCAGAAUGGUGAGCUUAAGGAAAAGCUGAAGGACAUUAUGGGCGGAUCUGAAAAAGCGGAAUGAGAUAUGUUGCAGAAAUCAUACAUAUUUGGAAAGCAGAAAGUGGUUACUAGAUAUACAAAAAAGCUAUAUGAGAAAGGAGAAAUCACAAAACAAAAUUCGUCAUGUCUACGGAGGAGGUAAAGACCAUACAAUCUGUCAAAGAUUUUCAUAAAUCCUUUCAGUUGAAAUCAAGCAAGCCAGUCUGCUGUGAGUACCUGUGCAAGUGUCCCACAAUGCGACAAAUGGGAAGAUAACGAAGCAAACAAUUCUCAAUGCAAAGACGACGAACACUAUAUAAAAGAUCAAUUUGUCCUAGUGGUUAAGCAGUGUUCAGGUACUAGUAAAACGAUUCAAACAAAACAAUGUGUCGAAUCAAAAAUUCAACCGCUUUUGCGAUAUCACAAGUGCGGAGCAUAUUAAGAAUCCAUUGAAACAUAUGAAGUUUACAUGGAAUCUGAUUUAGGAAAUAAGGUUUCAUGGCCCCUUCAUCAUGUACUCUUUUGCAAGUAUUUAAAUAAACAGGUCGAGAUCUAACUCCGAUCAAUUUUUGGAG